rnacentral:lncRNA from 9 species
UGAUAAGAAAGCGGUUGUGUCAUCCCAGGGUUUUUGAUCAGCAAGAAGAGAAAACCUGGGUCAGAUUGAACACACACAGGGAAGGCACCUGUCAGGAAGGCUGGAAGGAAAACAGCCCACUGUGUGCGUCUGUGACAUGUGACCCUGCCAGGGAGGACUGCUCCUGACAGUGAGCCAAACUGGGUCUCUGCCGUGCAACUUGUGCCCAGGAGGAAGGAGGAGCCACUCUAUAAUGCGGGUAUAGACAAAAUUCCAAGGGAACACAGCUCAACAGCCAUCCUAUGCGGGGAGCCAGGGACGAAAGAAGCUGGGAAUGUUUUGGAAGAUACAACGUUAGAGGUCACCUUGACUGGCUCUCACACCCUGAAAGGGCAAUCAGGUAAGAGUCCCCACGACUGUGGCUUUCCAACCUGCCUGGCUGUUACCUGUAAUAAGAAUUACAUUUUAUUAAUUUAUUUUUUUUUAGAAGAAAACAAUUUUGGGGUGGGGGUAUUUUUUUUUUUUUUUUUUAGGGCCGCACCUAUGGCGUAUGGAGAGGUUCCCAGGCUAGGGGUCACAUCGGAGCUACAGCUGCCAACCUACACCACAACCACAGCAACGCAGGAUCCAAGGUGCAUCUGUGCCCUACACCACAGCUCACGGCAACACCGGAUCCUUAACCUACUAAGCAAGGCCAGGGAUUGAACCUGAGUCCUCAUGGAUGCUAAUUGGAUUCAUUUCUGCCAGGCUGCAAUGGGAACUCCAAGAAGUACAUUUUAUAUCUCAACCCAGAACACACAUAAAGGCACAUAUGUAACUGAAAAAAGCAUUCCAGAAAACAGUGCUUUUCUUAUGUUCACUUUAUUUUGAUAUUUUCUAUUCUACUAUAUACUAUUCUUUGUAUGUUUUCAUUUUUAAUUAAAAAUUUAUUUUUUUAUUCUAUAUUUUUUUUAUAAAAAAUGGUUGUGAGGCCAUUCAAUUGAUUUCUUGACUUAAUGGGUUGAAAUUCAUCGUUUAACAAUCCCUGUCACAGGGACCAGAGCUGGAACCCACAGAUGGAAGCCAUGAGGGGCCUGGUCAUUGCUUCAGGAUCACAAAGGACUUCUAUCAGGCAGAGGUAACACACGAUGACAUUGCCCUCCUCGGGGGCAGUGAAUUUUGGCUUUUCGGACUUUUCAAACCUAGGCUGAAUGGCAGGAUGAUAACUGCAGUGCAGGAAGGACUCAGACGUCAAAUGGGGGCUGAAUUAAACAUCCCUAAGGUCCUCUCCCUCUCUGAGAGGCCUCAGUUGGAUUCACAGAAUUGGCAGUUAAAGAGUUCAACCACUUUCGGCCACAUUAACAGAAGCAUGGCAGAUAUCUCUUGGGAGGUGAAGAAGGCCCUGCUCCCUGCUCUUCAGACCUCAAACCAGAGUAUCAGAACCAGCCUGCAGACACACUUGGAGAUAUACUUUUGAAGUUAUUCACUCAUCUGUUCAUUUGUCUGACAAAUAUGUAUGAUGUGUCUAGGACCAACCACACACCGAUGCAGGCUCAGGGAAUGUAAGACUGAGAGAGCCCAAGCCAAAAGGAGAUCGCUGACUAGUGAGGAAGAGGUUAUCAUUAAAUACAUAUUUUUUGAGUGUCUAACUAUCUGUCAGUCACUGCUUUAGGGGCUGGGGAUGUGUCCGUGCAUCAGUGCAAAAGAUAUAAAAAAAAAAAUCCUGGCCUUCAUUGGAAUUUACAGAUUAUACACAACAAGCACAUAGAAUGAAUUGAUUCUGAUUGUAGUGAAAGGGCAGAGAAGCCAGAGAGGGUGCCAGCAAAGCACAAGAGUCAGGAGUGUGUCCCGAGACAGUGCCGUUAAAACUGCCACUUGGAGUUCCCGUUGUGGUUCAGCAGAAAUGAACCCGACUAGUAUCCAUGAAGAUGCAUGUUCGAUCCCUGGCCUCGCUCAGUGGGUUAAGGAUCUGGCAUUGCUGUGAACUGUGGUGUAGGUCACAGAGGCGGCUCGGAUCUCGAGUGGCUGUGGCUGUGGCUGUGGCUGGCAGCUGCAGCUCCGAUUCCACCCCCAGCCUGGGAACUUCCAUAUGUUGCAGUGCAGCCCUAAAAAGAAGAAAAAAAGAACAGAAAACUGCCACCUGAAGGGUGAGAAUUGUUUGUUUCAAAGAGAGCAAGAGAGGCAAUUGGGAAGGAACAUUCCAGACAGAGGAUUGGCAGUCAACUCAGAUGUGAAAGAAAUCUAGGCUGCUGGGGUGCGGAGGGAGGGGGAAGGAAAGACCCCAUCAGGUCAAGAAGUGGAACUUGAUCUUGGGAGCAAGAGGGGAACCAUGAGGAGGGUGUGAGGUACAGAAGGACAGAGAGACACAGCGCUAUGAAGAGAGAUGGGGAGAUGGAGGAAUGAGAGAGACAGGUGAUUAGGGUGAGAGAUGGAGGAAUAGAGACAGAGAUGAUGGAUGAGAAUGAUGGAGGCAUAGAUGGAGGAAUGAGAGAGACAGACGGUGGAUGCGAGAUGGAUUUAGAAUCAGCUUGACCAGGUGGGACGAUGGCACGGAGGACCCCUGUGAUUCUGCCAUGAGCAGCUGGUGAUGAUGGUGGGAGGAAGGAAGAAGUCUCAUUGACGGAGAUGAGGAGCG